rnacentral:misc_RNA from 1 species
AAGGAUCAUUAACAAAUUCCAAAACUCGUGUUUGGUCAAGUGAUGGCUUCUAUUGUUGCCUGUCCCCACGAGGGCCAUGCGAUGGCAUUAGUCUGUUGCUUGACCAGCUUCAACACAAAACACUCACAUUUACAAAUUGACAACCAAGAGUAACCAAAACGUUAAAUCGAAACAACUUUUAACAAUGGAUCUCUCGGCUCUU